rnacentral:rRNA from 1 species
ACGGGGCGCAGCAGGCGCGAAAACUUUGCAAUGUGCGAAAGCACGACAAGGUUAAUCCGAGUGGUUUCUGCUAAAGGAACUUUUGCCAGUCCUAGAAACACUAGUGAAUAAGGGGUGGGCAAGUUCUGGUGUCAGCCGCCGCGGUAAAACCAGCACCUCAAGUGGUCAGGAUGAUUAUUGGGCCUAAAGCAUCCGUAGCCGGCUCAGUAAGUUUUCGGUUAAAUCUGUACGCUCAACGUACAGGCUGCCGGGAAUACUGCAGAGCUAGGGAGUGGGAGAGGUAGACGGUACUCGGGAGGAAGUGGUAAAAUGCUUUGAUCUUUCGAUGACCACCUGUGGCGAAGGCGGUCUACCAGAACACGUCCGACGGUGAGGGAUGAAAGCUGGGGGAGCAAACCGGAUUAGAUACCCGGGUAGUCCCAGCUGUAAACUAUGCAAACUCAGUGAUGCAUUGGCUUGUGGCCAAUGCAGUGUUGCAGGGAAGCCGUUAAGUUUGCCGCCUGGAAGUACGUUACGCAAGUUAUGAAACUUAAAGGAAUUGGCGGGGGAACACCACAAGGGGUUGAAGCCUGCGGUUCAAUUGGAGUCAACGCCAGAAAUCUUACCCGGAGAGACAGCAGAAUGAAGGUCAAGCUGAGACUUUACCAGACAAGCUGAGAGGUGGUGCAUGGCCGUCGCCAGCUCGUGCCGUGAGAUGUCCUGUUAAGUCAGGUAACGAGCGAGAUCCCUGCCUCUAGUUGCCACCAUUACUCUCAGGAGUAGUGGGGCGAAUUAGCGGGACCGCCGCAGUUAAUGCGGAGGAAGGAAGGGGCCACGGCAGGUCAGUAUGCCCCGAAACUCUGGGGCCACACGCGGGCUGCAAUGGUAAUGACAAUGGGUCCCGAAUCCGAAAGGAAGAGGUAAUCCUCAACAUUACCACAGUUAUGACUGAGGGCUGCAACUCGCCCUCACGAAUAUGGAAUCCCUAGUAACUGCGUGUCAUUAUCGCGCGGUGAAUACGUCCCUGCUCCUUGCACACACCGCCCGUCGUUUCAUUGAAGUGAGCUUUUAGUGAGGUGACGUCUGAUUGGCGUUAUCGAACUUGAGGUUCGUGACAAGGGAAAAGUCGUAACAAGGUAGCCGU